UCAGAGGAGAAAUAGAUCCAAACAGCAGGAUGCAAGUGAUGGGGGAUCAGGCAGGCAUCAGAGUCAUGGAAGAUGAGCAACACAGCUUGACUCAGCUUCUGCAUCGUAAGCAGGAUAAACAUGUCGUCAUCUGCCACAGCAUCCCCCCAUCAUAUCAUAUAUCAAAUCAAAGCAAAAACGAGCAAGAAUUCGCGGGGGGAAAAUGGCCGAGACUGGCCCGCAAGUUGAACAAAAAAAAACGCGCAAGUGGAGGGAUAGAAGAAACACGAAACAUUCGACCUCUCCGAAGAAGAAAAACAUAAAGAAUGCAAGGGUGGACGCGACAAAGCUG
rnacentral:lncRNA from 1 species